GCCUGCUCGUCCUCACGCAGGUGUUUUUCAGUCAGCUGAUGAGCGCUGAUUGCUUCUUCCUCCUCCUCUUAUUUAAUCUUCCUCCUCCUCACAUUCCCGUGAUGUCACUUUGAAGAGAAGCUGCACGAGCCGUGGAACGAAAAAGUGUUCCGGGAGGAGGGAACUUGUGGCGGUGACGCGCCAACCGCCGUAAAAGCUCAUAAAACAACGCGGGAAGUUUAAACAUAGAAGAGAGAAAAAAGAAAACUCCCGCGGUGUGACGUCAGACGCCGAGAAGGUGGCCGCGUGCAUCAGCUCCUGUGUUGGACCUGGUCCAGAAUGGAACAACCUGCUUCCUGCUCACGGACACCGGGUCGGAACCGCCAUAGACAAGAGCCUGAGAUUGAUCGUCAUGAAGAUCGUCAAAGAGUAGGUGUGAUGAUUUCAUUGUGGGUGGCCGCUGUGUCCCCACUCUUUCUUGGCCGCUGAGCCUACAUCUC